GGCUAAGGUGCGCGUGCUCACUGGUCCUAACGGUUCUGUUGGGCGUUUCUGCUGAGAGGCGGGAGGCGCUGAGAGUCUGUGCGAAGGUCCGUGGACAGACUGCACUGCUUGUUGUUGCGCUUCGGAGGCGGCGAUCCCCGAAGGCCGCGAUCCCCGAAGGCCGCGAUCCCGGAAGGCGAGCUGAAAUACGGCUGGAGCGUUCCCAGGCUACAAUUUGCAGCCGGACGAUUUUGGAAGACUACCAGCCGGAGAGGUGGCCCGCCCUCAGGGAGCGCUUGUGCUCGGAUGGCUUCUCAUUUCCCGACUGCCCUACAUUUGGCCUGUGCCACUGGCCAACCGAAAAUGGUAUUUCUUCUGGUGUCCAGAAGAUGUGAGCUUAACAUCUACGACCGUGAAGGCAGGACACCUCUGAUCAAGGCUGUACAACUGAGGCAGGAGGCUUGUGCAACUAUUCUGCUGCAAAAUGGCGCCGAUCCAAAUAUUAUGGAUUUCUUUGGAAGGACUGCUCUACACUAUGCUGUGUAUAGUGAAGAUACAUCCAUGAUAGAAAAACUUCUUUUAUAUGGUACAAAUAUUGAAGAAUGCGGCAAGGUAUAGGUCAACCAACGUUAUUUUCAAACUAUCUGAAAUGCAUUUAUUUUAACAUUGACACAUGUAAGGGUCAAUUUUUCAUAUUUGGGAGCUCAAACAUUCCUUGAAUGAAAAUAUUUUGAAAUGCCUUAACUGUCUAAGAUUUUACUUUAAAUAUUGGAACUUUUAAAGAAGCAUUAUAGGGUACAGCUUUUUUUCACGCACUUAUGGUAAAUAAUUAUAAAAACAAAUGAAUUACAAUAAAUUUAUAAUUCAUGACAACUGAAUUUGGGAAAGGUAAUAGUUAAGUGUUUUUCCACUAAAUUACUUUUU
rnacentral:sRNA from 1 species